GCAUGCAAAAUGACAAUAAAGUCAGUCUAAGUCUAAGUCCAAGUCUAAUUAGACCAGAAAGUUCUAUCACCUCAUGGCACAAGUCAUGCUUGCUUGUUAGUGCUUUUGUGUUUUCCAGUGCAUUUGUGGAUUCCUGUGUUAUGUCCAAAACGGACAGCAGACUUCUCAUAUUGGUGCACGGACUAAGCUACGUUUGCAAAUAUUUUUUUCUGACUUUACUCUGUUUUGCAUGCCAUUCCAUACUACUACUGUCACUACUUGCUGGUCCAAGAGGCUUGAAGUUUGCAAGUCAGUGACUCAAUGGAAUUGAGUGAUGCAACGCAAUCACUUACAUUUGUCUAUAACUUUGCAGCAAACUCUACAGCAAGCAAGCAUGUAGUGACAACGGAGAGCAAACACUUCCUUUAACCUGGAAGAAACUUCCCACAGAAGCUGGCUCAGUGUGAGCAGCCGUCUAUGACCUCCUCUAUGACCAAUAGUUUUUUAUUUUUACUAAUAAAGAACUGAAAAGUGUAGGGAUUAAGCAGAUACACAACACUGAAAAAGAAGCACUUAUGUAGGAGUACUUUCUGUGUUAAAUAAGAGCAAAAAGUUAAUAAAACAAGAAAGAAAACUUAAAUUGUUGAAAGCAUCUCAGUUGAUGCCCCCCUUUAGGAAGGUGAAAGAGAUAAAACGUACACAAGACCAAUUUUGCUACACUGAAUAUAAAAACAAUGAGAGAAAACAGAAAGUUAAAAGUGGAAAACAGCACAAUAAUGCUAAUUUCAGAGGAAGAGAUCAGUUCUCAUAUGGCCCAGAUGCAAA